UACGUAGGUGGCAAGCGUUAUUCGGAAUUAUUGGGCGUAAAGAGCGCGCAGGCGGUUGAUUAAGUCUGAUGUGAAAGCCCACGGCUUAACCGUGGAGGGUCAUUGGAAACUGGUCGACUUGAGUGCAGAAGAGGGAAGUGGAAUUCCAUGUGUAGCGGUGAAAUGCGUAGAGAUAUGGAGGAACACCGGUGGCGAAGGCGGCUUCCUGGGCUGUAACUGACGCUGAGGCGCGAAAGCGUGGGGAGCAAACAGG
rnacentral:rRNA from 1 species